GAUGAACGCUGGCGGCGUGCUUAACACAUGCAAGUCGAACGGGAAUUACUUUUUAGCUUGCUAAGUUGUAAUUCUAGUGGCGGACGGGUGAGUAACGCGUGGGUAACCUGCCUUAUACCGGGGGACAACAGUUGGAAACGACUGCUAAUACCGCAUAAGCGCACGGGAAGGCAUCUUUCUGUGUGAAAAACUCCGGUGGUAUAAGAUGGACCCGCGUCUGAUUAGCCAGUUGGCGGUGUAACGGACCACCAAAGCGACGAUCAGUAGCCGGCCUGAGAGGGCAAACGGCCACAUUGGGACUGAGACACGGCCCAAACUCCUACGGGAGGCAGCAGUGGGGAAUAUUGCACAAUGGAGGAAACUCUGAUGCAGCGACGCCGCGUGAGUGAAGAAGUAUUUCGGUAUGUAAAGCUCUAUCAGCAGGAAAGAAAAUGACGUAC
rnacentral:rRNA from 1 species